rnacentral:rRNA from 1 species
UACGUAGGGGGCAAGCGUUGUCCGGAAUCAUUGGGCGUAAAGCGCGCGUAGGUGGCCAUUUAAGUCCGCUGUGAAAGUCAAAGGCUCAACCUUUGAAAGCCGGCGGAUACUGCACGGCUAGAGUACGGAAGAGGCGAGUGGAAGUUCCUGGUGUAGCGGUGGAAUGCGCAGAUAUCAGGAGGAACACCAAUAGCGAAGGCAGCUCGCUGGGACGGUUACUGACACUG